AAAAAAGCAGGGUUCUGUUGCCUAUAUAGUGAAUAGUGCCCUUGUAAACUUCAGGAAUAUCGAAUGUAUCAUUAUUGGGUGAACCUACGUAUAGAUAAUUGCUGAUGGUUCAGUAAAUGAUCCUACAUAA